rnacentral:rRNA from 1 species
UACGGAGGGUGCGAGCGUUGUCCGGAAUCACUGGGCGUAAAGGGCGCGUAGGUGGCGCGAGGAGUCUGUGGUGAAAGCCCGAGGCUCAACUUCGGGUCGGCCGCGGAUACUCUCGUGCUGGAGGGUGGUAGAGGCCAAUGGAAUUCCGGGUGUAGCGGUGGAAUGCGUAGAUAUCGAGAGGAACACCAGUGGCGAAGGCGAGUCCCUGGACAGGUCCUGACGCUGAGGCACGAAAGCUAGGGGAGCAAACAGG